GACAGAGGAUGCAAGCGUUAUCCGGAAUGAUUGGGCGUAAAGCGUCUGUAGGUGGCUUUUUAAGUCCGCCGUCAAAUCCCAGGGCUCAACUCUGGACAGACGGUGGAAACUACCAAGCUCGAGUACGGUAGGGGCAGAGGGAAUUUACGGUGUAGCGGUGAAAUGCGUAGAUAUCGUAAGGAAGACCAGUGGCGAAGGCGGGUCUCUGGGCCGUAACUGACGCUGAAGAGCGAAAGCAUGGGGAGCGAACAGG
rnacentral:rRNA from 1 species